AACCACACUAUCAAUGAAUGGAUUCAGCCGUGAUAUGACGUGGGUGUUCCACUUAGGACAAGAACAUGGCAUCCUAUUACCAGCCAUCGCAUGAAAUUAAUAGGAUGCCACGUCCUCAUCCUAGGUGAAACAACCAUGUCAUCUCACAUGUGAAUCUGUUCAUUGAUAGUUUGGUU
rnacentral:pre_miRNA from 17 species